AACGAACGCUGGCGGCAGGCCUAACACAUGCAAGUCGAACGCGCCGCAAGGUGAGUGGCGCACGGGUGAGUAACACGUGGGAAUGUAUCCUUUGGUUCGGAAUAACGUUUGGAAACGGACGCUAAUACCGGAUGAGCCCUUAGGGGGAAAGAUUUAUCGCCGAAGGAGCAGCCCGCGUCUGAUUAGGUAGUUGGUGGGGUAAAGGCCUACCAAGCCGACGAUCAGUAGCUGGUCUGAGAGGAUGAUCAGCCACACUGGGACUGAGACACGGCCGAGACUCCUACGGGAGGCAGCAGUGGGGAAUAUUGGACAAUGGGCGCAAGCCUGAUCCAGCCAUGCCGCGUGAGUGAUGAAGGCCUUCGGGUUGUAAAGCUCUUUCGCACACGACGAUGAUGACGGUAGUGUGAGAAGAAGCCCCGGCUAACUUCGUGCCAGCCGCCGCCGUAAAAC
rnacentral:rRNA from 1 species